rnacentral:rRNA from 1 species
GUGCCAGCCGCCGCGGUAAUACCGGCAGCCCGAGUGAUGGCCGAUCUUAUUGGGCCUAAAGCGUCCGUAGCUGGCCGCGCAAGUCCAUCGGAAAAUCCACCCGCCCAACGGGUGGGCGUCCGGUGGAAACUGCGUGGCUUGGGACCGGAAGGCGCGACGGGUACGUCCGGGGUAGGAGUGAAAUCCCGUAAUCCUGGACGGACCGCCGAUGGCGAAAGCACGUCGCGAAGACGGAUCCGACAGUGAGGGACGAAAGCUAGGGUCUCGAACCGGAUUAGAAACCCCAGUAGUCC